rnacentral:rRNA from 1 species
UACGUAGGCAGCAAGCGUUGUUCGGAGUUACUGGGCGUAAAGGGCGCGUAGGCGGCUUGAUAAGCGUGCGGUGAAAGCCCGGGGCUCAACCCCGGGUCGGCCGUGCGAACUGUCGAGCUGGAGCACUGUAGAGGCAGGUGGAAUUCCGGGUGUAGCGGUGGAAUGCGUAGAGAUCCGGAAGAACACCGGUGGCGAAGGCGGCCUGCUGGGCAGUGGCUGACGCUGAGGCGCGACAGCGUGGGGAGCAAACAGG